rnacentral:lncRNA from 1 species
GAGGUGACUGCCGAGGCGGCCAUCCUGCUUGGCCAGCUGAAGGACCAGGUGCCACCUCCUCUGGGAAGCUUUCCCUGCCCGUCCACAGGGUAUGCCUCCUUGUUCCUCUCCUGCCAUCGGUUUACGUGCCUGUCUCCAUCAACAGACCAGGAGCUCCUGAGGACAGGGACUGAGUCUGCCUGAUUCAUCUCUGCAUUCCUAGCACUUACCUUGGUGCUUAGUGAAAGCUCGAACCUGCCUGGGUUCCCACCUUGUCUCUGCUACCCCCAGCUCUGUGAACUCAGAGUCAUUUUUCUCUCCCCGAGUGGCACCGGGCUCAGCAGACACUCUGGCCAUGAAGGCAUCUUCUGACUCAAGCAGGCUGGAGUGCAAUGGCGUGAUCUCGGCUCACUGCAACCUCUGCCUCCCAGGUUCAAGCAAUUCUCCUGCCUCAGCCUCCCGAGUAGCUGGGAUUAUAGGCAUGCACCACCACGCCCAGAGCCAACUACUAAGCCUGUAGCAGCCUCCCAAACUGCCCAGUCUUGUUCAGAUGCACCUCCAGAAACACAGGGGUCCAAAAUGCCCCUUCCCAGACACCCUGAGGAGUAGAACAGUGCCAGCAGGCUCCAGGGAUGAGGGACUAGCUACCACAUUCCCUUUCCCAAGCCUCAGUUUCCCCACCUGUAAGAUGAGGGAUAUGGGCUCUGACUUUCUGAGUUUGGAAAAUAAAGUGCUCCCCAAACUGG